UACGUAGGUGGCAAGCGUUGUCCGGAUUUACUGGGUGUAAAGGGCGUGUAGCCGGGCUGACAAGUCAGAUGUGAAAUCCGGGGGCUCAACCCCCGAACUGCAUUUGAAACUGUUGGUCUUGAGUAUCGGAGAGGCAGGCGGAAUUCCUAGUGUAGCGGUGAAAUGCGUAGAUAUUAGGAGGAACACCAGUGGCGAAGGCGGCUCUCUGGUCUGCAACUGACGCUGAGGCUCGAAAGCAUGGGUAGCGAACAGG
rnacentral:rRNA from 1 species